AGCUUUGCACAGUAAUAGUAUCAUAGCCAGUGAGGUUUAUCCAAGGCACAAUUAUUGCUAAUUGAAAACUUUCCUAAUACCCUGCCAUGAGGACUUGAAAAAGGGUUUUUGCAGAUAUGACUAAAUUGAGGAUUU